rnacentral:rRNA from 1 species
AACGCUGGCGGCGUGCCUAACACAUGCAAGUCAACUUGACUGAAGGAGCAAUCUGACAGUAGAGUGGCACAAGGGUGCGUAACGCGUAAGUAACUUGCCCAAGGUAAGGAAUAACGUCGAGAAAUCGGCGCUAAUACCUCAUAAUGCAGCGGAUCCGCAUGGAUAUGUUGUUAAAGGUUUACCGCCUUGGGAUAGGCUUGCGUCUGAUUAGCUAGUUGGUGUGGUAACGGCACACCAAGGCUACGAUCAGUAACUGGUCUGAGAGGAUGAUCAGUCACACUGGAACUGAGACACGGUCCAGACUCCUACGGGAGGCAGCAGUGAGGAAUAUUGGGCAAUGCUCGAAAGAGUGACCCAGCAACGCCGCGUGGAGGAUGAAGGUAUUCUAUAUCGUAAACUCCUGUGAGAGCAGACGAAAGACAGAUUAUUAAUCUGGAUGACUGUAUGCUCAGAGGAAGCCCCGGCUAACUACGUG